GAUGAACGCUGGCGGCGUGCCUAAUACAUGCAAGUCGAACGCUUCACUUCGGUGAAGAGUGGCGAACGGGUGAGUAAUACAUAAGUAACCUGGCAUCUACAGGGGGAUAACUGAUGGAAACGUCAGCUAAGACCGCAUAGGUGUAGAGAUCGCAUGAACUCUAUAUGAAAAGUGCUACGGGGCUGGUAGAUGAUGGACUUAUGGCGCAUUAGCUUGUUGGUAGGGUAACGGCCUACCAAGGCGACGAUGCGUAGCCGACCUGAGAGGGUGACCGGCCACACUGGGACUGAGACACGGCCCAGACUCCUACGGGAGGCAGCAGUAGGGAAUUUUCGGCAAUGGGGGAAACCCUGACCGAGCAACGCCGCGUGAAGGAAGAAGUAAUUCGUUAUGUAAACUUCUGUCAUAGAGGAAGAACGGUGGAUAUAGGGAAUGAUAUCCAAGUGACGGUACUCUAUAAGAAAGCCACGGCUAACUACGUG
rnacentral:rRNA from 1 species